CCUCCCCUUAAAACAGAAAAACAGGAUAUGCUCCAAAGCAGCCCUGGAAAAUGGAGAGCUCAGGGCUGAACAAGCGUGUGGAGUAGCAGCGCCGGCCAGGGGCGCUCUGUUAGCAGGCAUCCGUCUGCGAUGCCUUGGAAGGCAUGUGGGGAAACAUCAGGAAACCUGAAAAUUCCUCCGCGGAAAUUACUCAGGGGAGCAGCAGAGCAGGAUUGUUGGAGGCUGGCAGCGAUGAAGAUCGCAAGUUAAACCACAGCUUAAGUGAGAGUUUUUUCAUGGUGAAAGGAGCAGCCCUCUUCUUACAACAGGGAAGCAGCCCUCAAGGCCAGCGGAGUCUUCAGCAUCCCCACAAGCAUGCAGGGGACCUGCCUCAACAUCUUCAAGUAAUGAUCAACCUUCUGCGUUGUGAAGAUAGAAUCAAGCUGGCUGUGCGCUUGGAGAGCGCCUGGGCUGAGCGGGCCCGCUACAUGGUGGUGGUGGACAGCAGCGGGCGCCAGGACACGGAGGAGAGUAUCCUGCUGGGAGUCGACUUUUCCAGUAAGGAAAGUAAAAGCUGUACCAUUGGGAUGGUUCUCCGACUGUGGAGCGACACAAAAAUCCACCUUGACGGAGACGGUGGAUUCAGCGUCAGCACGGCAGGAAGGAUGCACAUCUUCAAGCCCGUGUCUGUCCAGGCCAUGUGGUCUGCCCUGCAGGUCCUCCACAAGGCCUGCGAGGUGGCACGCAGGCACAACUACUUCCCCGGGGGCGUGGCGCUGCUCUGGGCCUCCUACUACGAGAGCUGCAUUGGCUCCGAGCAGAGCUGCAUCAACGAGUGGAACGCCAUGCAGGACCUGGAGUCCACGAGGCCCGACUCCCCCGCCCUGUUCGCGGACAAGCCAACUGAAGGGGAGAGGACGGAGCGUCUCAUCAAAGCCAAACUCCGGAGCAUCAUGAUGAGUCAGGACCUGGAGAACGUGACGUCCAAGGAAAUCCGUAAUGAAUUAGAGAAACAGAUGAACUGUAACUUGAAAGAAUUCAAGGAAUUCAUAGACAACGAGAUGCUCCUUAUCUUGGGACAGAUGGACAAGCCCUCCCUCAUCUUCGACCACCUUUAUCUCGGCUCUGAAUGGAAUGCAUCCAAUCUGGAGGAACUGCAGGGCUCAGGUGUUGACUACAUUUUAAACGUCACUAGAGAAAUAGAUAAUUUUUUCCCUGGCUUAUUUGCGUAUCAUAACAUCCGAGUCUAUGAUGAAGAGACCACAGACCUCCUCGCCCACUGGAACGAGGCGUACCAUUUUAUAAACAAAGCAAAGAGGAACCACUCCAAGUGCCUGGUACAUUGCAAAAUGGGCGUCAGUCGCUCUGCUUCCACGGUCAUAGCCUACGCGAUGAAGGAAUUUGGCUGGCCCCUGGAGAAAGCCUACAACUACGUGAAGCAAAAACGCAGCAUCACACGCCCCAACGCGGGCUUUAUGAGGCAGCUGUCUGAGUAUGAAGGCAUCUUGGACGCCAGCAAACAACGGCACAACAAGCUGUGGCGCCAGCAGCCUGUGGAUGACCCAGCGGGGCCUGGGGACUUCCUGCCGGAGACCCUGGACGGCAGCCCGGAAGCCCAGCCGCCCUGCCUGGAUGCCGCCGCCCAGCCUGGGUUCCCGGGCAGCGGGACCCCGGGGGGACCCGCUCUCCCCUGCUGUCUCCAGCGACUCUCAGACCCCCUGUUGCACUGCCCCAGAGACGAGACGGGCGGCUGGGUCCACCUGGAGGAUCUGGAGAGGGAUGCUCUGCUGGAAGAAGCCGCUCAGCCGGCAGAGGCAUCCAAGCCGGCCGGACACGCCCCAGGAGGUCCUGGACUCUGUGAGAAGGAAGUGAAGAAGAAACCAGAGUUUGGGAGCCCCCACGCCCGGGGUGGCGCGUCGCCGCAGGUGGAGGAGAUGGAAAGGGAGGAGGCCCCGGGAGCAGGGAAGUGGGGGCAGCCUGUUACUGAGCUCGAUAACCUGCUGAAUUGGGAAAACCUAAAUAACAACAACAGCAAGAGGAGCUGCCCGGACGACUUCGAGCACGAUGCGAUCUUUGGGAUCCUUAACAAAGUGAAGCCUUCCUACAAAUCCUGCGCCGACUGCAUGUACCCUGCAGCCAGCGGGAUUCCCGAGGCCUUCGGGGAGCGAUGCAAGAACCCCGGUGCUCCCGCCAUCUGCACCCAGCCCACCUUCCUGCCCCACCUCACGUCUUCCCCCAUGGCCCAUGUGGCCAGCAGGUCCCGAGCUUCAGAGAAACUGUCCUCUGGCCCAACCGAAACUCCCCCAUGCCUACCACCAGCAGGCUCGAGGAGGCCAGACAUCAGUAGCCCUGGGGCUGGGGCUGCCCCAGAGCUACCAGCCAGCCUUUUGGAACCUUCCAGAGAGACUCACAAAGUCCUACCAAAGUCCCUCCUUUUGAAGAAUUCUCACUGUGUUAAGAACGCUCCCAACAUGGAAGUAGCGAAGGACGACUCGCCACCCAAGAAAGAUCCGAAGCCAGCCAAGGACCUGCGGCUCCUGUUCAGUAAAGAAGCCGAGAAACCGACAGCCAACAGCUACCUGAUGCAGCACCAGGAAUCCAUCAUCCAGCUGCAGAAGGCGGGCUUGGUCCGCAAGCACACCAAAGAACUGGAGAGGCUGAAGGGCACGCCGGCCGACCUGGCGGCCCCCUGCAAGGAUGGCCCCGCCAGCAGGCUGGAGGCCAGCAUCCCCGAGGAGAGCCAGGACCCGGCUCUGCCUGGCCAAGCCCAGGGCGACGAGAAGCCCGAGGCUGGCCCCCCUCCGUCAGAAGGAGCCCCACUGAAGAGCCCCCCGCUCUUCCUCUGCCGCCCAGACCACACCAGUCACUUCUCAAAAGACUUCCUGAAGACCAUCUGCUACACCCCGACCUCAUCCUCCAUGAGCUCCAACCUGACCCGGAGCUCAAGCAGCGACAGCAUCCACAGCGUCCGUGGGAAGCCCGGGUUGGUGAAGCAGCGCACGCAGGAGAUCGAGACCCGGCUCCGGCUGGCGGGCCUCACGGUCUCGUCCCCGCUCAAGCGCUCUCACUCCCUCGCCAAGCUCGGGAGCCUCAACCUCUCGACGGAGGACCUGUCCAGUGAGGCCGACGUGUCCACCGUGGCUGACUCCCAGGAUGCCAGGUUGAGCGAGUCUUCCUUCUUGCAUGAGCCCCCAGUGGCCCCCAGGAACCCAACUGCAACCUCUAAACCAUCAGGGAAAUCUGCCCCGGAAAACUUGAAAAGCCCUUCGUGGAUGAGCAAAAGCUGACCCGCCUUUGGCUGCGUUUGGACUUCUGUGAUCCCUCCUUUAGUUUCACUGUGGAUUUUGGUCCACCCCUUCUGUCUUGAUUUCCUUUAAAUAAUUGGCGUUAUCCUUACUUUUCCUCCCCUCUUGCGGCAAAGGGGAGAAGAAGAAACAACAAUACCUAACAUACAGCACAAGAAGAAAGGGGAGCAUUGGUUUUGUGGCCUGGGGGAACCAGCAGCUGUUGACCAGUAGACUCUGACUCCAAAUGAGGUGUUCCGGGUGCUUCUCGUGUGUUAAGAAGAGCAUUUAUACAGCGAUGCACACACAUCAAAAAUCCUCUGGCACGGGGCUUCCCUGGUGAUGCAAUGGUUAAGAAUCCGCCUGCUGAUGCAGGGGACACGGGUUCGAGCCCUGGCCCGGGAAGACCCCACAUGCCGCAGAGCAACUAAGCCCGUGCGCCACAACUACCGAGCCUGCGCUCAUAGAGCUCACGCUCCGCAACAAGAGAAGCCACGACAAUAAGAAGCCCGCUCACCGCAGUGAAGAGCAGCCCCUGCUCGCCACAACUAGAGAAAUCCCGUGCACAGCAAUGAAGACCCAACACAGCCAAAAAACAAAACAUCCUCCGGCACAACCUGCAAAGGAAUAGCUGUGGCAUUGGCAUCGCCACCACGGCACGUGUCCUAGCUCAUUCAGGCCCUUCUGGGAAAACUCCUGGAUGGCAGUAGAAGUCCUACCUCUGAUCCUGCUCUGCUUUUUAUUUUUAAACUCCAAUAAUGACCAAGGCUCAUUCCAGGGAAAAAUGCUGUGUCAGAAAAGAUUUUUCCGAAAGAGAACUUUCUGUUGUGCGGUUGUCAGGACCCCGAAAAGUAUUAAGACUUUUAAGGUGCCUGCGCCAAACACUGCUAGUUAAAGUGACACGAAGGCGCUAAUGCUGCUGUCAGACCAACUCCAGGGUGAGUGGAGGUCCUCUGAGCAGCUGACUUGCCUGUCCUGGCGUGUUGUCACAGCUGAGUGACGUGUGUCUGGCCGGCCCUGGGGUGAGGUGGGGGGAAAUGUGUGUGGGGUCCUCAGUUUGUUGCUAAAGGUCAGUCUUCAGUUGUCCCCCAUCUGGGGAGAAGGACCCACAAAGUAUCAUUGAGUCUUAUCUGCUGCGGAACCCAGUGCGGUCGUGUUGUGGUUCGUAGGGACUCAAGUGUCUGGCGGGGCCGGGGAUUCUGAGAUGUGGGUCACCCCGUCAGGAGCCCCAGCACUCAGGUUCAUUAGGUCACGUGUACUCACGUUUGGGGAGGAAAAGGAGAUUUCAGCAGUGAGGAACGCUCAGUCACUCUCAAGGAACAACUUAGCAGCAGCUUCUCUGAGAAGUGGGACUGGGGGAAGCCCUGGCAGACGUUUACAGUCGCCCCUUCCUGCGGUGAGAACGCUGCUUCCUGCUUCUCUGCGGCUCUUCCCAGUGGGCAGGACAGCGCGUGGUCCUGAGUGUCUGGGAGUAGUCCCUCCAAGGAUCUUGAGUGGAGGGACUCCUCUGAUGUUGGCCAGCAAGGCAGGAUGUUAAAAUAUUUUGGAGAGAGAGAAGAGGUCUGUUAAGUUUAAUUCAGGGGUCAGCAAACCAUGGUGUAUGGCCCCAAGAGCUAAGAUUGUUUUUUAUAGUUUUAAGGGAUUAUCAAAAAAUUAACAAAUAGGCGACAGAGACCAUGUAGCCUGCAAAGCCUAAGCUAGCUACCUUGCGAUCAGGCUCUUUAUAGAAAACUUUCGCCGAGUCCUGGCCAGUGAAACUAGAAAUCCUUCAAGGGCCAGCCAAAUUCCAAACGUGGGUAAAUGAGUCACCCUCUUACGCUGGUCAGAACCGGGCCCCCAAGAGUAGCCCAGGCAGGGUCUGCAGGAAGAAGGCUAGUCCGUAUUUCAACUAGCGGGUAGAGUUUUUGCAAAAACCCUCUCUCCAGAAACUUUUUCUCCCUGGCCUUAUUUUUUUUUAUUAAAGUAUACGUUAUUUUAUCCUAUCGGAAUUUGUUUUCCCACCACUGUCAACUGAAAUCAGCUUAAAAGGUGAUUAUCCACUUAUUGCGGAAAACCCAGUUGGGUUUCCUCCUCUCUCUCAGCCAACAAGAGCACAGUCUCAAAAAAUAAAUAUCAGGUUCAGUGUUUUGCCAAAUUAAAUUUCAUGUGGUGGAUCAACUUUUGUGUCAAAAUAAUUCUUUAAAUUUGAUGAUGCCAGGCUUAUGUUGGUUUUUUAACCAUGCCUGGGUAUGAUACAGUUUUGAAGACCUUAAUUUUGAAAGCCAUAAUUUUUCUUAUCCAGUUAAAGGGUGGGAGGAGGAUUACGAGUACUAGUGGGUCUCUGGCUUUUGGCAAAGUUAUCCAUUCGCUGUCAGGAGCUAGUCUAUCGGUAUCUAAACAGACCAGGGCCCAGGUGCCCAUCAUCAGAGCAAAAUGAAGCGUUCUUGAUGGAUGACACUGUAGCCUGGAGAAGAGGGUGAAGGUUUUUCUCUGAGACCCAGAUCAGUGGCACACAAACAUAUGGCAGAUUGCUAUUUUAAAUGUUAUACUAACAAGACAAGAGCAUUCUCCCAGGCUUGGAGACACCUUGGCAAAGACAGAUUCCUACCGGUCUCUGAAAAGAAAGCUUACACCAUAAGCUGUGCCACGCCUUGACCAGUGCUUCACCCGUAAGCUUAGCAGAUGGGGAAAUUCCGAAUGUAGGCUGCAGUGGUUUAUGCUGUGAAAGUCACUGAUUUUGGUGACCGCCAUCUUCGUGGAAUGCCUUUGUCGAACUCGGCGAGAACAAAAGCUGUCUAAAUAAGCCCAGUACCCUGUGAAUUCAGCUGCAUUUCCUCUUCCACCUCACCUUUCCCUCCCUUGCACUCUCAUUCACGUGGCAUGCCAAAAUUAGAGCGAACUCCUCUAGGUCUUCCUCUUGCAACGAUACGGGGAGGUCUUCUCAUCAAGUUUUGUUGUGUCGAAGAGGAGAGGUGGUCACAGAGAGAGGGGAAACCGUGCUGCCCUUGAUCGGGACCUGACCUUGCCGAUUUCCAUGUCUUUGUCUUGUAGCUACUUCAGGGCCUUGGAGCAAUGUGCAUCAUUCCAUGAACUUCCUGACAACAAGGUUCUUGCCCCCAGUCUCACCUGCCUCCUUGGUCUCAGUGCAGGCACCAGUGCCAACCUCUCGGCUGCCAGACAGCUGUCUGCUGGGUGGAGGUACCCGGUCCAUCAGGCGAGCAGGUUACUCUGUCCAGCUCCCUUCCGCUCCAUCCCACCCUCUCCAGCUAAAAAGCAUUCCAGCCCUUUCUAAAGCCUUCUCCCUCCUGGAUAAGCCCAGAGGAUGCCUGGGAUGGAACCAAAGAGGCCAUAGAAUGAACAUCGUCAGGACAACCCUGUACGUCGGCACUGUGCACAGGUGCCGUCCCAGGAGGCUGAUGGAUCCCCUGCUCCCUAGUGAGAGGAAAUGCUGUCACGUAGUCGAGAGCAUGUGAGUAACCUCACCCAAAGUGUCCGAAGAGCGACUUGCUGUCUGUUGGCUGGAAACGCUUGGCGCCAGAACACAUCUCCCAGAACCCUGCUGUGGCUCGCCACCCGGCAGGGCUUCCCCGCACCCACGCGGCCGGCACAGUGACGGCCGCCCCUUCACCUCCGGCAGGGGAGCCGGGCGGGCAGGAGAUUUGUGACAUCGGGACAGCGUGGUGCAGGGUCACCGGCUGCUGUCCCACCCCCAGCGUCUCCCCGACGCGGCAUGCCAAAUGAAGGUACUUAUGGACCCCCAUGCUCAGCUCCUUGGUCUUUUUAUUGUCUGCUCUGCAGUUGAAUACGUAUGUGUAUGAGUUCACUCUGCACAAAUAUAUAUAUUUGAAUCUGUCUAUCUUAUCACUUGAAUCAGGGCAUCACGUGCAUCCCUCCUCCCUCACGUACACGCACACUGUGUCACCCGAGCUAUGAAGCGGGUCACCUUGAACGGUCUGGAGCGACGCAGUGCGGUGCUGCCCUCGGUGGGUGUGGAUGUGACCACCUCGUCUUUGUCUUGCAGUGGGUGCUGCAGCCCCGGCCUGUGUCGGUCUCUUAGCAGGAGUCUUAGAACCAGACCCCCGGUCCUCUGCUGUCCUUUCUGUCGGCCGCGCUGCUCACGGAGAUGGCCGCUCCCUCCCUGCCUCCUUCCUGACACUGUAAUUAUUGUUUUACAAUCGAGUGCCUUAAUAAUAGUUUACAAAUACUGUGUAUUUAUGGGCAACCGUUAAGCUCUCGCCUUCUGUGAUUGGAUACUUUGCCUCGUCAGUGGUGGUUGGCGUUUUUAGGGCUGGAGCUUGCCUGCCCCGUGCUUGUGCUGGUCUGUUGUGCGGCUUCUCGCACCUGCCCGCAGCCAGGCCAGGAGCGUUGCUAGAAACGGCGCUGGCGGUUUCUGUUGGCAAGGCGGGCACAGUUUCAGCCACGGCCCGGUCCGUAGUAAGCGAGAAAGGAACGGGAUUGGUUUGCUGGCCAGCCGGGGGGGGUGGCGCGAUCCAGGCUCCCCCUGGACCGCAGCGCAGCCCCUCCCCUGUUCCCCCCAUCACGCAACUGUACUCCUGUUCAGUAGAGUUUUUAUUACCACCUAGGCCCCCCUGUUUUCCUCUCUACUGGUGUCCUGAGCUCUUUGCAACAAAAUGCAGGUACAGACCGCCAUCAGGAGCUCCACAAGAUGGGCUGCCCUUUGGUUUUCAGAAGCCGCCAGUGGGUUCCAGUGUGUUGUGUUAUGAUAUCAAUGAUUUUUUUUUAUUAUAUUGUUUUUCUUCUUGUUUUUUUUUAUAUUAUAUAUUUAAAAGGCAGUAUCUUUUGUACUGUGAAUUUGCAGUAGAAGAUGCAGAAUGCACUUUUUUUUUUUUUACUUCUGUUGGUGUGUACAGUAUGUAGUCUGUGUGCUUCUUGUGAUGAAAAUAAACUUUUUCUUUAUAAAUGCCUGAUGACCUCCAAACUUGUGCCAAAAAGCAACAGCCUCUUCCGCCCUUGCCAGGAGACUCGGUUGCAGCUUCGUCAUCGUGAUGGCCUGUGUUGACUGAGCAUCUGCCGGAUGCUGGGCCCCAUGCUAAACACCUGGACAGGUACCAGCAAGGAAACAUCCGAGUCAGAGAUGAAGCCUCCAGCCCUUGGGAAAUCUGACCCACUUCGUGCUCCGAAGGCUAUCCGGGCGGCACAAGCAAGCCGAGCGUCAGCAUUUGCGUGAGCAGAAACCGCAGCACAGAAAAGGAUGCACGGGAAUCUGACCCUAAGAGACAGAUUCUCCCACAAGCGGUUGGAGGUGCCGAGCUCCCUCUGGUUUUGAAAUAGGAUGUCGCAACGGGUGAAGGACAAUGCGACCUACCUCAAGGGGGCAAUAAUUUGAGAAUUAGCUGGUAAUGUAUGCAGACCUCUUCUGCCUGGCACACCACUCGCUGAGUAAGUCAGUGGCAGCUCUUACUGUUGGUACUGGCAGGAGGGAUGGAGGGGAGGGAGGGGAAAAGGAAGUAAACUGCACUGAGCAUCUACUGCUCGCAGGUGUUUCAUGUGUGUUGCUGAGUUGAUCCUCACAGUAGAUGUGACUGUUUUACAAAGAGGUGGAAGCUCAGAGAGCUUAGGUCACCUGGAUAAGGGCCACACAGCCAGGAAGGGACAGAAGCUUGGGGUGCCUGACUCCAAACUCAUACACUUUCUACCCCACCAUCUUCUCUCCAAAGAAGACAGCCCUUAAUGUGCUUAGUGCGUAGUAAGCACUCAGUAAAUAUCAGAUGAGAGUAAAUGAACGAAAUAUGCUGUGAAAAUGGGGCCCAAGUUUCAUUCACCAAGGCUGGGAAAGCUUGGGGACACCCAUGACCGCCUAAACCACGUUCUCCCAGGACAGGGACAUGAAUCAGACACCUCUGGGGCCCCAGCACACUGGGCUUGGCACACUGGACUGAGCCCUAGGUCAACCCCAGGCAUUUACUAUGCAGGAAUCAAUGAAUGCUGACUUUUUAGAGACCAGAAGAAUCUGAAAGGUCAUCCAGACCAGGCCCCUUUGUAACAUCCAUCCAUUCCGUCAUCCUCUCCCAUUCAUGUGCUCCUGCCAUGUGCCAGUUGCCCGAGACAAAGAGGAGCCCGUCUGUUUCACCCCCUGGCAGUCCUGAUGGAAAGCCCAUCUGUAAAAGCUAGGAAGGAAAUACACCACCUGCCAACAGCAAUGGGGUUAGAUGGGGAGGAUUCGAGGUGGACGUUUUUUGCUUUUAUCUAUUCCAAAAUCUCCGCAACAGGAUUAUUAUGUUACUUUCAUACUUAAAAAGGAAAAUGUAAAGAUUUAAUAAAAGGAUGCUUUGGCAUUGAGCUGCAAUUUGCCCUCCAAGCUCCCAGGCUCAUGGUUCUAGGGAAUUCAGCACAGCAUUUUGCGGGGAGGGUCUCUUCUCCCCUCUGAUGGGGUAACAUGGGCCCCCUGGAACAGAAAUUGCACUCAGAUCACUGAGGCUCAGGGGUG